rnacentral:rRNA from 1 species
GACGUAGGGGGCGAGCGUUAUUCGGAAUUAUUGGGCGUAAAGCGCUCGUAGGCGGGCUCGGUAGUCCGUGAAGAAAGACCUGGGCUCAACCCAGGGAACGGCGCGGAUACUUCGAUUCUUGAGGCAAUCAGAGGGUGAUGGAAUUCCCGGCGUAGCGGUGAAAUGCGUAGAUAUCGGGAGGAACACCAGUGGCGAAGGCGAUCACCUGGGGUUGUUCUGACGCUGAGGAGCGAAAGCUAGGGGAGCAAACGGG